UUAGUGGCGAACGGGUGAGUAACACGUGAGUAACCUGCCCUUAACUCUGGGAUAAGCCUGGGAAACCGGGUCUAAUACCGGAUAUGACUUCCUGCCGCAUGGUGGGGGGUGGAAAGCUUUUUUGUGGUUUUGGAUGGACUCGCGGCCUAUCAGCUUGUUGGUGAGGUAAUGGCUCACCAAGGCGACGACGGGUAGCCGGCCUCGAGAGGGUGACCGGCCACACUGGGACUGAGACACGGCCCAG
rnacentral:rRNA from 1 species